UAAUACGUAGGGUGCGAGCGUUAAUCGGAAUUACUGGGCGUAAAGCGCGCGCAGGCGGUUUUGUAAGACAGAUGUGAAAUCCCCGGGCUUAACCUGGGAACUGCGUUUGUGACUGCAAGACUCGAGUGCGGCAGAGGGGGGUGGAAUUCCACGUGUAGCAGUGAAAUGCGUAGAGAUGUGGAGGAACACCGAUGGCGAAGGCAGCCCCCUGGGUCGACACUGACGCUCAUGCACGAAAGCGUGGGUAGCAAACAGGAUUAGAUACCCUGGUAGUCCACGCCCUAAACGAUGCGAACUAGGUGUUGGAGAAGGAGACUUCUUUAGUACCGCAGCUAACGCGUGAAGUUCGCCGCCUGGGGAGUACGGUCGCAAGAUUAAAACUCAAAGGAAUUGACGGGGACCCGCACAAGCGGUGGAUGAUGUGGAUUAAUUCGAUGCAACGCGAAAAACCUUACCUACCCUUGACAUGCCAGGAAUCCUGAAGAGAUUUGGGAGUGCUCGAAAGAGAG
rnacentral:rRNA from 1 species